rnacentral:lncRNA from 1 species
UAAAGAUCUAUGGGUUUUAUUUCAAUUCCUGAAUACUUACAUAAUUAUGUUACUUCGUGUGGAAUUUUGUUUGACCACUGUCUAACAUAUCCCACUGUCCACAUAGGGUAGUUGGUUUGUCUAGCUAACUCCUACAGUGUUCUAGCUAGAACAUUUAUAUUAUGUAGGGUGUUAGUACAUAUUCUAAAGGUGUGCACAUUAUCAGGAUUUGCAUGUUCCUUAUAUUUUCCACAAAUGAAAGGAUGUUGAACUUUCUCAUUUUUAACUCACUUGGGGUGCACAGAAAUGCUAUGUUGAGGUAUAUGUACAUUUAGUGUUUGUACCAAAAAUAUCAGAUGACUUAUUAAAGUGUAACCCCAUUAAAAUGAAGAUUGUUUGCUAGUUUCCAUGUUUUUACCUGUAUACUUAAAACUUAUAUUAUAUCGUAAGAAACUGCCAUAGGAAUUAAUAAUCAGCAAAACAAGAUCUGUAGAACAUUGUAGAAAAUAAGGUCAUAGUGAUUGACCUUAUAUAACACAGGUCCCUGGUGUACAUAACAUAGGAGGCUGUAGUGCACCUUGUAUAACACAGGUCCCUGUUGAAUGUAACAGGAGGGUGUAGUGCACCUUAUAUACAUGUAACACAGGUCCCUGUUGAAUGUAAUAGGAGGGUGUAGUGCACCUUAUAUAACACAGGUCCCAGGUAAAUGUAAACAGCAAAAAUGUUCAGCAAAGUAAGAUCUACAAAAAAGUUUAACGACCAAAACUAUCAAUUGACCCCUUAAGGAGUUAAUGGCCUUUAAGGACAAUUUUUAAGUUUCUAACUUUUAAAAUCUUCUCAAAUGAAUCUAGUAUAAAUUUUGUAUUUUAUUUCUUUGUACAUGUUGUAUGUCAAGAAACAUAGACACUGGCUAAAAUGGAACAUAUGGGUAAAAUGCAUUUAUAUGCUUUUGAAGAAAAUAUGACCGAUACAAUGAACAUUUAAAUGGCAUUUUUAAGCCACUCAUUAAUAUGGGCGCAUUGCAUUUGCACCAAUUUUUUCAAAAAUCCAAUCUUUCAUUUGCGCCACAAGGUUAUAUUUCAUUUGCGCCAAAAAUAAAAACUUCAUUUACACCAUUUUACAUGUAUUGUAUAGAGGAAAAGUUCAAUAUCCGUGAAUAACAUUUGUGUUUACAAUAUUCCCCCUGGAGAACUGAAGGAGUUCAUACACAUUUCUAAUACAAAACUGAGAGUCACUAAGGUUUGGAAUUAUAUAGUUUGAGGUGUCAAGAUGGACAUUAAUAUUGUCAAUUUAGAGACAAACAAACAAAAUAGUCUGUAUUUUAGGAUGGACACACAUAUAUGUUAUCAUAUGUUCUGAAAAAUUUGGAAAGCCAGAAGACAAAAAAAAAAACAAUUAUUAAAACUUAGAAUGAACAUGCUUGUCGAAAUAUUAUUUUCAAAUCAAACAGAGAAUAAAUUAGUCAUAUGAAAUGAGUGAGUGGUGAAAAAUAAUGUUUAUCCUAUUCUUGAUCCAAUGUAUGUAUAUAUCAUAAACUUAGUCCUUUGUGCACGAUUUUAUCAUUUUUUAUGCAAAUAUAUUGUAUAAUCGUCAAUUUUUUCUCUCUGCCUGUUAUGAUUUAACAAAUAUGGCUUCUCAUUAAAUGCCAUGGUAAAAACCUAAGGUAUUCAUAACAAAUAUGUGAUAAUGAAACUUUCCAUAUAGUCAUAAAAGACAUAUGCAUAUUUUUUUUAAUUUUGAGGUUUCUUAUGACUUUAAAUAUUUAUAUUACCAUAGUAUGUUAGUUUUCUCAUUCUUAUUGUUUUACAUUUGUCAGUUUGGGGCCUUUAAUAUCGACUAUAUACGGUAAGGGCUUUCAUUGUCAAAGGCCAUACGAUGAUCUAUAGUUGUUAAUUUCUAUGUCAUUUUGUUUCUUGUAGAGAGUUGUUUCAUUUUUUUUGGCAAUCAUAUUACAUAUUUUUAAAUCAAUUUUAAUAAAUUUAGUUUUUUUUUUUUUUUUUUAGAGCAAACAGGUACAAUUCUUCAUUUAUCCUCUUUGUAAAUACCCUGUAAUCAUCAUUUUUUUGGGGCGAAUGGAAGAAAACAACAUUAAUUAACUAUAUACCUGUGUUUACCAGUAAAAUGGCGCAAAUGAAAUAUGGUUUGUGGCGCAAAUGAAAGAUUUUUUUGGCGCAAAUGAAAUGCCAAUUGACGCAAAAGCAAAGCACUGAUUAAUACAUAUUGAAAAACAAAAAUACCAGGUGAACUAUAUAGGCUCCUUAGAACCUGUAGAAGCCACUUUUUAAAUGUUAUCAUUACUAUUUACUUAAUCUUGAAUCAAACAUUUAGGGCACUAUAUAUGACUACCAUUAUUUAUAUACAUAUAAUUUAAUUAUUUUUUUAUAAUUUUUCUUAUUUAACAAUUUGUACAUUUAUUUGUUGUUGUUGUUUAAUUCAUGUACUUAUUUACAAUGCAUAGGGAAACAAGGAUAGAAACCUGAUAUUGGUUGAGAACAGUACCCUCCUAAGUUCUAUUUUAAGCUUGCUUCACUUUGAAUAUAUAUAUAUGAAAUUGAAAAUAAGAUACUUUGAAAUGUAUACUUUACUGUGAUUGAAGCCUGAGUUCUUUGAUAUAAUUGAUUCAUAACAUCUAUAUGAUCUACAAACUAACAAAAUUAAACAUGUUUACCCCAAAAGGUACUUCCAAAUUUUUAUAAGACCGCACAGAAUUUUUUAGGAUUUUGUAUAAUGCUAUGAUGUUUUCGUCAGCGUCCGAAGACACAUUUGGUUUCCAGACAACAACUUAAGUUAAAGUGAAUGAGUCUUUAUAAAAUUUUAAAAGAAGGUUAAAUACCAUAUAGGGAAGGUUGGGAUUGAAUUUGGGGGCUAUGGUACCAACAGUUUAUUAAUUGGGGGCCAAAAAAAGCAUUUUUGUAGUUUCCAGACAUUAACUUGUGUGCAAGUGUAUGGAUCUCUCUCAAAUUUCUAAACGAUUAGGGAGGUGGAUCAUUUGACCAGUAAUGCAGACAUUAUAGUUUGUUGACUGUUGUUACAUUUAUACAUGUUUAUACUUCCUCAUUUUACUAAUGAAUCUUAAUGAAUUUAUAUUUAAAUUUUAUUCAAUUUUUUAUAUUAAUUAUAAAUUAUGAAUUUUCAAAGGUUACUUCUUUUAAUGUUUAUUUAUUUACAUGUAUGUACAUCUCAUCACCUAACAAUAUUUCUAUUCUAUUUUAAUCAUUUGUUAUUGACUAUUCAAUCACUUUAUUAGAUUAUGUAAAUGUAAAUGUAUGUGUAUGAUUUUUUUGUUUAUCAUUAUUAUUAAAAUUGUGUGGGA